ensembl:lncRNA
CUUUGGUUUGGUUGUCUGAGCAUCUAGAGUUGGACAGAACUGUAUCACGGGUUCCUUUAGAUUUUCUACCACAGAUUGUCCACCAUGAGUUCUUUUUUUUUUCUUUUUAAAGAUUUUAUUUAUUUCUUCAUAAGAGACAGAGACAGAGACAGAGAGAGAGAGGAAGAGACACAGGGAGAGGGAGAAGCAGGCUCCAUGCAGGGAGCCCGACGUGGGACUCGAUCCUGGGUUUCCAAGAUCAUGCCCCGGGCUGAAGGCCGCGCUAAACCACUAAGCCACCUGGGCUGCCCCUCCACCAUGAGUUCUUGUCAUCACUGAACCACUUUCCCAGGCACCACUGCCAAGUGGUUUGUUUCUCUCAUUUGUGUGUGUUCUUAGAGAUUUCAGGAUGGCUGAACAAACUGGUGAGAGAAAGAGUGAUGGUCUGUGUCCAGGGGAUUGUCUCAUUGUCUGCUUCACUUUGUCGGUUCUAAUCUGUCCUCUGCACAUGCGAUGGAGACGUGCCGUGGAGUGGAGGGAGGGAAGAGGCCUCACUUGCAGUUAGUUCCUUCCUUCUUUCAUGGAAGAACAAAGCUCUUUCAUCCUCGAAUCUUCUAUCUGAACAAAAGUUGCGAGAAUUAUUUUAUCCCUAAAAAAUUUCCUUGAAUAAUUUCCACCUACUGCAUGAAACAAUGGUCCCUUUUCACUUCUAAAAGGACUAAAAGACUAAAAAGUACAUCUUUUUUUUAUUUAUUUUUAUUUUUUUAUGGGCACCAAAGUAAAGCAUAUGUGCUCUAUUUGGAGAAUGCAGAUGCCUCAAGCUGUGGCAUUUCUUUCUCCAGCUCUCAGCAAGUGGCCAUUUAGGCUUAAUUGCUCCUCACAGCACAGUCCAAUUAAGAACGGGCAUCAGCAGGAAAGCUACAAAAGUUGUACUGCCUUUCGAAUUCGAGCCCAUUUCCUCAGGACAGAUAAAAAUCAUGGUGAAUUAAACAUCUACCACCUGGAAAUACUCCAGAUUCUUGAUGCUCUGACUUUCCCCCUAUUGCCUGUCAAUUGCUCAUCAGGAUUAGAGACCAACUGCUCUAGAAGGUGGGUCUGCGUGUUUUAUUCAAGUUCCUGCCUGUUCCGUUAG